CAGCAGCCGCGGGAAUACGUAGGGUGCAAGCGUUAAUCGGAAUUACUGGGCGUAAAGCGUGCGCAGGCGGUUUGUUAAGACAGAUGUGAAAUCCCCGGGCUCAACCUGGGAACUGCAUUUGUGACUGGCAGGCUAGAGUAUGGCAGAGGGGGGUGGAAUUCCGCGUGUAGCAGUGAAAUGCGUAGAUAUGCGGAGGAACACCGAUGGCGAAGGCAGCCCCCUGGGCCAAUACUGACGCUCAUGCACGAAAGCGUGGGGAGCAAACAGGAUUAGAUACCCGCGUAGUCCCUGUCUCUUAUAC
rnacentral:rRNA from 1 species